rnacentral:lncRNA from 1 species
UCUGCACCUGGCCUCGUGUUUUUUUUUUAGUUAGCCAUUUUAUACGUGUUUACUGAACACCUGUCCUGUGCCCAUAUUCUAAGUGCCUUACCUGCAUUAAACUCAUGUAACCUUCACAACCCGAUGAGGAAGUGCUACCGCUGUCAUUUUUUGCAUUUUUUUACUGCUGUCAGGGCAGAGGGGAGGGGAGUGAGAGGGAGAGCCUGCUGGAGUGCAGGUGGCUGGUCCCACCUCGGGUC